UAAAGAACGUACUGCACUCAAGACUACCAAAAGAACACAGCCUAAUGGCUACUUUCCUACAAGUAUAUUGUGAAAGCAAUGAGUCACAGAAAAUCCUUGAAAACACCAAAUAGUUGAGGGCUACAAGAAGAUUCAGAGAGAGAUUUGAAGAAUUUAAAAAGCCUUUUCUUAAAGGUAAUGCAUUGCUAAUUAUAAAAUAUAUUAUAAUGAGUUAAGCUAUGAAGACAAUGAAUGCAAAUACAGUAUACUAAUUUAUUUCCAGCAACAGUUCAGUUUCUCUAAAGC
rnacentral:lncRNA from 1 species